AACUUUCAACAACGGAUCUCUUGGUUCUGGCAUCGAUGAAGAAAGCAGCAUAAUGCGAUAAGUAAUGUGAAUUGCAGAAUUCAGUGAAUCAUCGAAUCUUUGAACGCACAUUGCGCCCGCCAGUAUUCUGGCGGGUUGCCUGUUCGAGCGUCAUUU
rnacentral:rRNA from 1 species